AUUGGACGCUGGCGGCAUGCCUUACACAUGCAAGUCGAACGGUAACAGGUCUUCGGAUGCUGACGAGUGGCGAACGGGUGAGUAAUACAUCGGAACGUGCCUAGUAGUGGGGGAUAACUACUCGAAAGAGUGGCUAAUACCGCAUGAGAUCUACGGAUGAAAGCAGGGGAUCGCAAGACCUUGUGCUACUAGAGCGGCCGAUGGCAGAUUAGGUAGUUGGUGGGAUAGAAGCUUACCAAGCCGACGAUCGGUAGCUGGUCUGAGAGGACGAUCAGCCACACUGGGACUGAGACACGGCCCAGACUCCUACGGGAGGCAGCAGUGGGGAAUUUUGGACAAUGGGCGAAAGCCUGAUCCAGCAAUGCCGCGUGCAGGAUGAAGGCCUUCGGGUUGUAAACUGCUUUUGUACGGAACGAAAAGCCCUGGGUUAAUACCCUGGGGUCAUGACGGUACCGUAAGAAUAAGCACCGGCUAACUACGUGCCAGCAGCCGCAGUAA
rnacentral:rRNA from 1 species